rnacentral:lncRNA from 1 species
CUUACUGUUUGAAGCCUUAUGAAAACCUGCUAGAGUAAACCAAAUGCCUUUGAUGAUCAUAUAUACCCAUACAUAAAAAUGAAAAUUCCUUUUAGGAGGCAGUAAAUAAGGAUAAGAGAUGAUAGUCAGGCACGUAGGUUGGAACCAAGCUGCACACACCGCACAGUGGAGAGAGACCUGAUCCUGCUUAGGGCAGAGUGGGGGAAAGGAGCCAGGGCCUCCUCCUGCUCUGAUCCCCACCAGCUCAUGACCUUGGACCAGCCCGUGACCUUGCAACCUCGCAGAACUGUAAAACUCUAGUAGCUGCACGACGAUGAAGUGGGAGCUUUGGAAA